UAACGGGUGUUGAAACAAUGUGAUUUCUGCCCAGUGCUCUGAAUGUCAAUAUGAAGAAAUUCAAGAAAGCGCGGGUAAACGGCGGGAGUAACUAUGACUCUCUCAAUAGCAAAAUCCAUUGUCAUCUAAUUAGUGACGCGCAUGAAUGGAUUAACGAGAUUCCAACUGUCCCUAUCUACUAUCUAGCGAAACCACAGCCAAGGGAACGGGCUUGGAAUCAUUAGCGGGGAAAGAAUACCCAGUUGAACUCUAAUUAGGCACAAUAAAGAGAUUUUUAAUGACCUUCAACAAACAAUCAAUUCAGAACUGGCAUGGACCAGGGGAAUCCGACUGUCUAAUUAAAACAAAGCAUUGUGAUGGCUCUAACGGGUGUUGAAACAAUGUGAUUUCUGCCCAGUGCUCUGAAUGUCAAUAUGGAGAAAUUCAAGAAAGCGCGGGUAAACGGCGGGAGUAUACUAUGACUCCCUUAUGGUAU
rnacentral:ncRNA from 1 species